rnacentral:rRNA from 1 species
CGGCGGACGGGUUAGUAACACGUGGAUAACCUACCUAUAAUACUGGGAUAACUUCGGGAAACCGGAGCUAAUACCGGAUAAUAUAUUGAACCGCAUGGUUCAAUAGUGAAAGACGGUUUUGCUGUCACUUAUAGAUGGAUCCGCGCCGCAUUAGCUAGUUGGUAAGGUAACGGCUUACCAAGGCAACGAUGCGUAGCCGACCUGAGAGGGUGAUCGGCCACACUGGAACUGAGACACGGUCCAG